rnacentral:misc_RNA from 1 species
GGCGGUUGGAAAUCUUCCUACCAAAAGAAUGGUGGUGCUGGUGGUUCUGAUGCUUCUAGGGAAGGACAGUGGGGUGGUGCCUCCAAGGGGUCCAGCUGGGGCAAUGAUGGUUCCGUUGCUAAUGUUGGAGGUCCGUCAGUAAAAGAGACUGUUCCGGCUUCGAGUGGUGCUUGGGGCGCAGGUGGCUGGGGCAAUGGAGGUUCUGUUGCAAAUAUUGGAGGUCCAUCAGCAAAAGAGACUGUUU